UACGAAGGGUGCUAGCGUUGUUCGGAAUUAUUGGGCGUAAAGCGUGCGUAGGCGGUCUAGUAAGUCGAUUGUGAAAGCCCAGGGCUUAACCUUGGAAUUGCAACCGAAACUACUAAACUAGAGUAUGGCGGGGGAUAGUGGAAUUCUUAGUGUAGGGGUGAAAUCCGUAGAUAUUAAGAGGAACACCAGUGGCGAAGGCGACUAUCUACACCAUUACUGACGCUGAGGUACGAAAGCGUGGGGAGCAAACAGG
rnacentral:rRNA from 1 species